AUGGACCCAGCAGCCAAUAUAGGGACAUCAUCAUUGAUGACUGAACAACAGCAUGAAGAUCCCCUUGUGUUGGGGAAGAGGGAUGCUCAUGAUUCGAUAUCGAGGGGCUUGGCGAAUGGUCCUCUGGAUCGGAGUACGGAGCUAGUUCUGGUGGGUAAUACAGCUGUGAUUGCUCAUCAUUUUGAGGGAAUUAAUGAAGUGGUCUUGAAUUACUCUUCCGACAAUUUUAUAGACUGCAUAGUGAUGGAUGGUAACAAUCCAUCAUGCCGGCUAACUGGUUUCUAUGGGGAACCAAUUUGGGAAAGGAAGCACCUCUCGUGGACAUGCUUGCUUGAUCUUCAUAAUAACAGUACGGGGCCUUGGUUAGUGCUUGGCGAUUUUAAUGAAAUAACCACUACAAGUGAGAAAGAAGGAGGUUUGGUACAUGAGCAUCAUAUACAUUCAGAUCACAGACCGGUUCUUCUCGAUACUGAAUAUUAUAAACAAAUGAUCGCGCAACAGCAGAAGCGCAACCAUAUGUUUGAAGCGCGCUGGCUGAACGAAGGGACAGUAAGUGAGAUCAUCAGUUCAGCAUGGGAACGGGCCAAGUUGGCAGGGAUAGGUACCACACUUGUUGGCCAAACUAACGCAGUUCUCACUGACCUGCAUGAAUGGGAUCGAGAGACACUCAAAAGCCCAAAAAAGAGAAUAAAUAAGCUUAAGAAGGAAAUAGAGAAACUAAGGCGUGGACCUAAUACUUUUGAAGCGCGGCAAAAAAUGAAAGAGCUACAGGUUCUUGUUGAGAACUUGUUGGAUCAGGAGGAGAUGAUAUGGCUCCAGCGUGGGCGCGCUAACUGGCUACUUCAUGGCAACCGGAACACAGCUUUCUUUCACAGAGCAGCAACAGUGCGGAAGAAAAGGAACUGCAUUAAAAAAACUACUAGAUGA
rnacentral:rRNA from 1 species